rnacentral:tRNA from 2 species
GGGCGGGUGGCGGAACGGUAGACGCGCACGGUUCAGGUCCGUGUGUCCGAAAGGAUGUGAGGGUUCAAAUCCCUCCUCGCCCACCA